CAGAUGCCUACAAGGAGUUUAACGAUACGUUCCAGAAGCAGAUGUCGAUGCUUUAUGGGCAUAUCGAGGGCUACAAAGGUGUGAUAAUCAAAGAGCUGCGCUCAGGCAGCAUCGUGGUGGACUAUGACGUCAUCCUGGAGCUCCCCGCCAGCUCCAAGGUCAACGAGACGGUGAAGAGCAUCUCCGAGAACCUCGUCACUGCCAUCCAAAACCACGGCUGUGACGAGAACUGCACAGGGGACGACUGUGUCUGCUUCAACAGCAACUUCACCGUUGUCCACAAAGUUGAGGUGCAAGAGGUGGAAGAACGUAAGUUUGGGUGUUUGGGUGUCUCCAACGGGGUGUUUGGGUGUCUCCAACCCCUCUGGAGAACCCCAAAACCUGAGGUCUGCGUCUCCACCCUCAGGUGUGUGCGACACCUACAUCCAGGAGGAGUUCAGAGUCUUCUACACGCCGUACCUGACCAAGGUCGGCGUCAUCUGCAUCACCCGCUGCGACUCGCGCCACGCCGACCCGCUGCCCUGCGUCCAUGGCAGAUGUUCCGUCAGCCGGGAGGGGCCGCAGUGCGAGUGCUCGGACCAGGUCGCCUUCUGGUACCAGGACAACGCCUGCAGCUCCCGCAUCAGCAAGGUUGGGGUGUCCGUGGGCGUUCCGGUGGCCGUCCUGGUCCUGGUCAGCACCAUCUUCACCAUCCUCCUGCUGAGAUCUCGGAGGCAGAAGGAUCAGUACAGGAAGAAGCUGAAGUCCCGCUCGGAGAUGUACACCAGCGAUGA
rnacentral:lncRNA from 1 species